rnacentral:rRNA from 1 species
UACGUAGGGGGCAAGCGUUGUCCGGAUUUAUUGGGCGUAAAGAGCGUGUAGGCGGCUUUACAGGUCCGUUGUGAAAACCCGAGGCUUAACCUCGGGACGCCGACGGAAACCAUCUGGCUAGGGUCCGGAAGAGGAGAGUGGAAUUCCCGGUGUAGCGGUGAAAUGCGCAGAUAUCGGGAAGAACACCCGUGGCGAAGGCGGCUCUCUGGGACGGUACCGACGCUGAGACGCGAAAGCGUGGGGAGCGAACAGG